GUAGGUGGCAAGCGUUGUCCGGAAUUAUUGGGCGUAAAGCGCGCGCAGGCGGUCCUUUAAGUCUGAUGUGAAAGCCCACGGCUCAACCGUGGAGGGUCAUUGGAAACUGGGGGACUUGAGUACAGAAGAGGAAAGCGGAAUUCCAAGUGUAGCGGUGAAAUGCGUAGAGAUUUGGAGGAACACCAGUGGCGAAGGCGGCUUUCUGGUCUGUAACUGACGCUGAGGCGCGAAAGCGUGGGGAGCAAACAGGAUUAGAUACCCUGGUAGUCCACGCCGUAAACGAUGAGUGCUAAGUGUUAGGGGGUUUCCCGCCCCCUUAGUGCUGCAGCUAACGCAUUAAGCACUCCGCCUGGGGAGUACGGCCGCAAGGCUG
rnacentral:rRNA from 1 species